rnacentral:rRNA from 1 species
UACGGAGGGGGUUAGCGUUGUUCGGAAUUACUGGGCGUAAAGCGCGCGUAGGCGGAUUAGAAAGUUGGGGGUGAAAUCCCGGGGCUCAACCCCGGAACUGCCUCCNAAACUACUAGUCUAGAGUUCGAGAGAGGUGAGUGGAAUUCCGAGUGUAGAGGUGAAAUUCGUAGAUAUUCGGAGGAACACCAGUGGCGAAGGCGGCUCACUGGCUCGAUACUGACGCUGAGGUGCGAAAGUGUGGGGAGCAAACAGG